UCAAAACCCUGAGGGUUCCCGUAAUGUUGGUACAUUAAGUAGAAGGUACAAAAUCCUUUGGCCAAAUUUCCGUCUUAAACUUCUCGAGUGGUGCUUAACAAGUCCAAAAAUUUGUGCGGAGUUACUGUUCUAGGUGCCACUAUGUAUUGAUUUUGAAGAAUCCCGUUAAGACCAGCGUAGCCUGCUAUUGCUUCAAGCAUACGAGUUAGCUCAAAAUCGGCAAAGCGAAAUACAUUGUGUGCCGGGACCUAGAAGGGUAUCAGGGCCUCAAUUACAUCCAUCCUCGG
rnacentral:lncRNA from 1 species